AGACGUAAUCGAUGGGAAACAGGUUAAUAUUCCUGUACCCCUUUUGACUGCGAUGGAGUGACGGAGAAGGCUAGGUCAGCCCGGUGAUGGUUAUCCGGGUUUAAGGUCGUAGGCGAUGGGAUCAGGCAAAUCCGGUCCCUCUUUAAUAGAGAACGCCGAGAACUGAUGACGAACUGACUACGGUCAGGAAGUGAUCGAUGCCAGGCUUCCAGGAAAAACUUCUAAGCUUCAGGUCAAAAGGGACCGUACCCGAAACCGACACAGGUGGUCAGG
rnacentral:rRNA from 1 species